rnacentral:rRNA from 1 species
CUGCUGCCUCCCGUAGGAGUUUGGGCCGUGUCUCAGUCCCAAUGUGGCCGUCCGCCCUCUCAGGCCGGCUACUGAUCGUCGCCUUGGUGGGCCGUUACCCCGCCAACCAGCUAAUCAGACGCGGGUCCAUCCCGUACCACCGGAGUUUUCAAGAAAGGAACAUGCGUCCCCUUCUGUUAUGCGGUAUUAGCACCUGUUUCCAGGUGUUAUCCCCCGGUACGGGGCAGGUUCCCCACGCGUUACUCACCCGUCCGCCACUAAGGCCCGCGCCUUCCGGGUCUGGUAAA